rnacentral:rRNA from 1 species
UAGGGAAUCUUCGGCAAUGGGGGGAACCCUGACCGAGCAACGCCGCGUGAGUGAAGAAGGUUUUCGGAUCGUAAAGCUCUGUUGUUAAGGAAGAACGAGUGUGAGAAUGGAAAGUUCAUACUGUGACGGUACUUAACCAGAAAGGGACGGCUAACUACGUGCCAGCAGCCGCGGUAAUACGUAGGUCCCGAGCGUUGUCCGGAUUUAUUGGGCGUAAAGCGAGCGCAGGCGGUUAGAUAAGUCUGAAGUUAAAGGCAGUGGCUCAACCAUUGUAGGCUUUGGAAACUGUUUAACUUGAGUGCAGAAGGGGAGAGUGGAAUUCCAUGUGUAGCGGUGAAAUGCGUAGAUAUAUGGAGGAACACCGGUGGCGAAAGCGGCUCUCUGGUCUGUAACUGACGCUGAGGCUGGAAAGCGUGGGGAGCGAACAGG